rnacentral:rRNA from 1 species
GCGGUGUGUACAAGGCCCGGGAACGUAUUCACCGCGGCUGCUGGGACAAUCACUAGUGAAUUCACCAACACGACGGACAAUGAACACUCAUUGUUGGUUAUUACUGUUCAGUGAGAAAACAACAACGAUAAGUGAUCCACCUGGGGAGUACGAUCGCAAGGUUGAAACUCAAAGGAAUUGACGGGGGCCCGCACAAGCGGAGGAGCAUGUGGUUUAAUUCGAUGAUACGCGAGGAACCUUACCCGGGCUUGAAGGUAAGACGAAUAUAUGGGAAACCAUAUAGCCUACGGGCGUCUUGCUAGGUGCUGCAUGGUUGUCGUCAGCUCGUGCCGUGAGGUGUUAGGUUAAGUCCUGCAACGAGCGCAAC